rnacentral:tRNA from 1 species
GAAAAUGAUGGUUUGACUCCUUCCCUUAUUA